rnacentral:rRNA from 1 species
AACGAACGCUGGCGGCGGGCCUCAUACAUGCAAGUCGAGCGCGAAAGUCCGCAAGGAUGAGUAAAGCGGCGCACGGGUGAGUAACACGUGGAUAAUCUACCCUUUGGAUUGGAAUAACCUGUCGAAAGACGGGCUAAUGCCGAGUAAGCUUACGAGUUCGUGAAGUUCUUGUAAGGAAAGAUGGCGCAAGCUAUCGCCGAUGGAUGAGUCUGCGUCCCAUUAGUUAGUUGGUGGGGUAAUGGCUUACCAAGACAAUGAUGGGUACCUGGUUUGAGAGAAUGAUCAGGCACACUGGAACUGAAACACGGUCCAGACUCCUACGGGAGGCAGCAGUAGGGAAUAUUGCGCAAUGGACGAAAGUCUGACGCAGCCACGCCGCGUGAGUGAGGAAGGCCUCGG